AAAUCAACAGCAUUUCAUUGCAUAAUGUAUUUUGAGGGGGGGGGGGUUCAUCCCAUAGCCUUCGCCUCCCUUUCGCACCUAAUUCUUUGAUGUCACCAAAAACAUCGACAUAAAAAAAUCUGGAAAAAAAGCAGAACUUUUUUGGUCAAGUUGGUGGUAUUGAUAUUUCUUCAGGGAAGUUGCUUUUUCAUUGGAAAGCCUCCCUUUUAACAAUGAAAAACCACUGACUUAUUAAAAUAUUUAAAUAAUUGUUUGCAGUGAGGUUCCUUCUAUCAUUUUCCUUAACUUACUAUUGACCAUCCAAAAUCAAACGAGGAUGACAACGGAUACCUCUGAUGAGGAAGAAGCCACUGGUUGAGGAUGACCUUGCACUCCCCGUCCCAGGAGCCAGAAGCAGGGAGGAGGACCAACAGAUGAACUGAUGAUUCUGUAGUGAGCUAGCCAUUUCUGAUUCUCAAGAAGUGUGGAUGAGUCUUGGAUUGAUGGAGACUUGGAGAUGCCGAAUUUGGAGACACACCAAACCACCAACACAGAUGUACCUUUAGAAACCGGAAGCAGUGAGGAGGACCGACAGAUGAACUGAAGACCCUACUCACUGAGCUAGCCAUUUCUGAUUUUUAAGAAACCUGGCUGAGUAUUGAUGAAGACCUGGAUGGAGAGUCUGUUUGUUGACUUGACGCCUGAAACCAUCAUCACAUAUGACUGAGGAACCGGAAGCAGGGAGGAGGAACGACAGAAGAGCGGAAGACCCUGCUUGCUGGGCUCCCCAUUUCCGAUUUUUAAAAAAAUGGAGCCUGUCAUACCGGGAUGAGAGCGGUCAGAUGAAGAGGAUUCUGACUGAGGGUGACUUUGCCCUCCUCACCCACUUCUGCUGACACUAAGGAGGAGGAAACAGGGAGGAGAACAAACAGAAUGACUGUGGACUGUACUUGCUGAGCUUGCCAGGAAUUCCUACAAACUUAGAAUUAGGACAGUGUCUGACACACUUCAUUAUGGAGAGAAAACCCCAUCGAAGAAUUGGGCAGGAAACUUCAUUAUUACUAAAUAAACUUAUUCUAAGAGAUGAAAUGAACCUCAGUGGCAUGCGUCUAGAACAAAGUCAGACGCCUGGAACAUUGUCAGGAUGAAAAAGCUUUAUGCCUUAAAUAUUUUACAAUUGAACCGUCAGUGACAUUUCAGCAAUUCAGUGAAGACGAGCUGCAAUGAACAUCAGUCACACUUUACUUAAAAUAUUAUCCUGAAAGCUCAUGCAUUAGGUUUGUCAUAAUUAUAAAGUAAAUGAGACACAAACUACUGAUAAAACUUGUAAUUCCUGGAGGAAGACGAGGAAGAACUGAGAUGUUUGUUUUCAUAAAGUUUUCCAAAGCAAACACGAUUUACAAAAAGAACCCCGGAGCAAUCAAAACGGACAUUGGCUGGUACUUUGUAUGACCAUUGAGGAAGUAACGGAUUCCAUCCUGUCCAAUAAACUCGCCCCCCACCCCAAAAAAACCCCAAACACAAUACAAUCGGUUUCUUAUAACUGUCUGUUAACCAAAUAAAGUGAAGUUACUCUGUGAAAAAGUGGUGAUUGAAAGUCAAAAGAAAACAAAAGAAUCUUCAAUCGUCACUUCCAAUCAUCAUUUUACGCCCCGAUUCGCAUGCUCUCUGUACUGCAUGUACUGUGUGAUUAUUUCAUUUGUACGGUGAAAUUAUUUCUUGUGUACAGUGUGAUUAUUUGAUGUGUUGUGUACUUUCUUCCAGUAAUUUUAGAAAUUUCGAGUUUCUGACUAUUCACAGAUCUGCAAUACUCGGACAAAACCAAACAAAGUCAAAGUUUUAGAGAAAUAAAUAAAAUCAGUGUUAUUAUUUAUUUCUCAAAAUUUAAGGUGCUAUACGAUACGAUACAAUAGCGGUAGUGUGAGGGAAAUAGUAUUUAAAAAAGUAAUACUUUACUCACUCAAAAACGAAAGAAAUUAAAUGAUAUACGAUACGAUACGAUACGAAGUGAUACAAAUAAUUUCGAUUCUUCAUUGAAAAUUUCAGCCACAAAAAUGAUUAAAUGACGCGUGUGAAAUAAAUAAUACUUGAAAUUUUAUAAUCGACAAAAGAAAGAAAUAUAAACGCAACAAAAAUAAAUAUUGAGGUUAAACAAAGCGGAGGUGAAAAAAAAAUUGAAAAAAGGGUAUUUUUUUUCUCAUCCCUCCAAAAAGGGAGAGAAAGAAAUUAUACUUGAAAAUCGGUGUUAUUUAUUUCUCAAAGGUGCAAUACGACACUUUACGAUACUACAAAAUACGAUACAUACAACACGAUGCGGUACGCCACUACACGAUACGUUACGAUACGUUACGAUACGAUAAUAGCGGUGGUUAGAAAAAUGCUAUUAAAAAGUGUUAUUUUUCUCAGUACCCACUAAAACAGUUACGAAAUGAUACUAAAUAAAAAACGAAAUGAUUUACGAUACGAUUCGAAAUGAUACGGGGAAG